UACGGCCAUAUCCCGUUGAAACACCGGUUUGCGGACGUCACCAAAAUGAAGCAACGUCGAGCCUGGGCAGUACCGAGAUGGGUGACCCCUUGGGAAUACCAGAUGCUGUAAG